rnacentral:rRNA from 1 species
ACGGCUCAGUAACACGUAGACAACCUACCCUCAGCACGGGGAUAAACCCGGGAAACUGGGUAUAAUACCCGAUAGUUCUGGUUAGCUGGAAUGCUAUCAGGACGAAAGCUCCGGCGGCCGAGGAUGGGUCUGCGGCCUAUCAGGUAGUAGUGGGUGUAACGUACCUACUAGCCUACGACGGGUACGGGUUGUGAGAGCAAGAGCCCGGAGAUGGAUUCUGAGACACGAAUCCAGGCCCUACGGGGUGCAGCAGGCGCGAAAACUUUACAAUGCUGGCAACAGCGAUAAGGGGACCUCGAGUGCCAGGAUACAAUCUUGGCUGUCGUGAUGCCUAAAAAGCAUUGCAUAGCAAGGGCCGGGCAAGACCGGUGCCAGCCGCCGCGGUAACACCGGCGGCUCGAGUGGUAACCGCUAUUAUUGGGUCUAAAGGGUCUGUAGCCGGCCGGAUAAGUCUUUUGGGAAAUCCAGCUGCUCAACAGUUGGGCUUUCAGAAGAUACUGUUCGGCUCGAGGCCGGGAGAGGUGAGAGGUACUUCAGGGGUAGGGGUGAAAUCUUGUAAUCCUUGAAGGACCACCAGUGGCGAAGGCGUCUCACCAGAACGGACCUGACGGCAAGGGACGAAAGCUAGGGGCACGAACCGGAUUAGAUACCCGGGUAGUCCUAGCCGUAAACGAUACUCGCUAGGUGUCAGCCACGGUGCGACCGUGGUUGGUGCCGUAGGGAAGCCGUGAAGCGAGCCACCUGGGAAGUACGGCCGCAAGGCUGAAACUUAAAGGAAUUGGCGGGGGAG